rnacentral:rRNA from 1 species
AGGUGGUCAGGUAGAGAAUACCAAGGCGCUUGAGAGAACUCGGGUGAAGGAACUAGGCAAAAUGGUGCCGUAACUUCGGGAGAAGGCACGCUGAUAUGUAGGUGAAGCGACUUGCUCGUGGAGCUGAAAUCAGUCGAAGAUACCAGCUGGCUGCAACUGUUUAUUAAAAACACAGCACUGUGCAAACACGAAAGUGGACGUAUACGGUGUGACGCCUGCCCGGUGCCGGAAGGUUAAUUGAUGGGGUCAGCGCAAGCGAAGCUCUUGAUCGAAGCCCCGGUAAACGGCGGCCGUAACUAUAACGGUCCUAAGGUAGCGAAAUUCCUUGUCGGGUAAGUUCCGACCUGCACGAAUGGCGUAAUGAUGGCCAGGCUGUCUCCACCCGAGACUCAGUGAAAUUGAACUCGCUGUGAAGAUGCAGUGUACCCGCGGCAAGACGGAAAGACCCCGUGAACCUUUACUAUAGCUUGACACUGAACAUUGAGCCUUGAUGUGUAGGAUAGGUGGGAGGCUUAGAAGUGUGGACGCCAGUCUGCAUGGAGCCGACCUUGAAAUACCACCCUUUAAUGUUUGAUGUUCUAACGUUGACCCGUAAUCCGGGUUGCGGACAGUGUCUGGUGGGUAGUUUGACUGGGGCGGUCUCCUCCUAAAGAGUAACGGAGGAGCACGAAGGUUGGCUAAUCCUGGUCGGACAUCAGGAGGUUAGUGCAAUGGCAUAAGCCAGCUUGACUGCGAGCGUGACGGCGCGAGCAGGUGCGAAAGCAGGUCAUAGUGAUCCGGUGGUUCUGAAUGGAAGGGCCAUCGCUCAACGGAUAAAAGGUACUCCGGGGAUAACAGGCUGAUACCGCCCAAGAGUUCAUAUCGACGGCGGUGUUUGGCACCUCGAUGUCGGCUCAUCACAUCCUGGGGCUGAAGUAGGUCCCAAGGGUAUGGCUGUUCGCCAUUUAAAGUGGUACGCGAGCUGGGUUUAGAACGUCGUGAGACAGUUCGGUCCCUAUCUGCCGUGGGCGCUGGAGAACUGAGGGGGGCUGCUCCUAGUACGAGAGGACCGGAGUGGACGCAUCACUGGUGUUCGGGUUGUCAUGCCAAUGGCACUGCCCGGUAGCUAAAUGCGGAAGAGAUAAGUGCUGAAAGCAUCUAAGCACGAAACUUGCC